GAAACUUCUCUCCACCUAUUGGGGCUGGAGGCCUGAGUCACAAGCCCCUUGUUUACAUAAAGUGUUUAGGUAGCACAAGUCCUUGAGAUGCUCGGGGUAGAGAUGGAGAGCCACUGCUCGUAUCCUUCUGCCGGCUUCUGCUUGAGAUCUCUUGGCCUUUACCCUUGUCCCUUGACUUUUCGUGUUUGUUUUAAUCUUUAAGACUUGAAAUGGAGUGGCCUUUAGAACCGGGGAGAUACUGUAAACCAGCAGUAUCUUUGUGUCACCAAUGGUAACUGAAAGUCAUGCUGAAGUACAGAUUCCUGUAGCGUGCACAGAGGCAGAGGUGCUUCCUUUACCUUGCAGAUGAGUUGAGCGGCGUAAGAUGUUUCUGUUAGGGUUGAAUUUCAUGGUUAUUUCAGCAACGAUUUUCGUUUUUGAAGUUUUGGCCCCCCCAAAAAUGAAAGUCUGCAACGCAUGUUUGUUAAGAGAACAGUUUAUUCUCCUGUUAGGUUUUGGUCUUUGAGGUAUGGAUUCCAGAGUUGGCUAUUCUGUUAGAUUUAGAGGUGUGGAAAAUCUUUUAACGGGGAGAUCCUGAAACACGGAAACAUGGCAGGGAAGUUAGAAUUUCCUGAUGGUCAUUUUUAACAUUUUAAAGUUUACUUUUUGGUUGUUGCCAUUUUUCUAGAAUCCGUGUCUUUUUUGGGGAAAUACAGUCCUUUGAGGACUAGAAUUUAAUGAUUUCUUUACACAUCUAGGAUUUUUUGAGAUUUAGAAAGGAUAUGGCUUUAUUCCUAAGGAAGUGGAGGCAGCAGUUUCUAGGAUACUCUGGUUUCAAGGCAUGCUAACUUGGUUGUGAUGUCUAACCCAUUUUGGUUUACACAGUCUGACCACUAGCACAAUGCCUGGCACAUAGUUUACAAAUCAUUUAAGGCAAGCUUACCAUCUUAAGACAAUUUAAUACAUAGAAGUGUCCCUCCUAAAAAUCUGAGUUUGAUUUAGAAAUCCAGUUAUACCUGCAGGUACUGAUGACUAAUUCCUUCUUUGAAGACAAAAUAAGCAGCUGUGUAGCUUCAGUGGCUCUCAAAUGGAUAAUAGAUUCAGUGUAUACUCGCUUUGAACUUUCCUGUUUUUUGAUCAGCUAGAUAAAUGACUUUAGUGGGUAAAUGUCUGCCUCCAAAACCAAAUUCUGACCCUGAUCUAAGUAUUCUACUGCACCGCUGUCACUGGAAUAUCAAAGUUGGCCUUCAGACUGGUGCCUGGUUCCUUGGAUUGGCUUGAGUAUUGAGGUCUGUCUCAUCUUACUAGGGAACUAAAAUGAUGUUGAUUGUUUUGUAGAGAAUUGUAAUUAGAGAUCUGUAGGUUCUUAAUUCUUUUGGAAUUCCAUUCUGAAAAUUUUCAACCUUAUGGUGUUGGUGGAGUGCUCAUGUGAAGAGUGAAACUGACUUAAGAAUAAAAGAAAAAGUGGGCAAAACUAAUGCUAAACUUGAGACCAUUGGGCAGAAAUUUGCCUGUGUGUGUAGAGUAAUUGGUCUUGAGUCAAAGUAACUAUGCUUAUUUUUAACAUCACUGAAUAUUUUCUAGCGUUACACUCUAUAUAGGCUUGUAGAAAUAAACCCAGGGGUAAGCCCAGAAAUUGAAUAUCAGUCCUAAAGAAAGCCUAUCAAGAGCAUCCUAUUCUCUUUAAGAGCUGCUAUUCGAAUUUAGGACUGGGCUGGUUUGCUGCUCAUUCUCUCGAGGCAUAGGCAGCCACACUUGAAUUUUGCCAAGUAUGCAGAUAAUUCCAACUUGUAGUCAGGAUCAUCAGGUAAUAGCAUUAUAAGGGGAGCUGUACAGACUGUAUACUUUCUACAGUUUGUUGAAAUAGAAACAUUUAUAUGGAUACAUACAUCUGCAAAGGUUAGGGAGAAAACGGUAGCCCUGGCAGAGAAGAGCUAGUUAGUGUAUUUCAGGAUAGGGCCAAGGGAAGCUGUCAUUUCUCUACUAAGUCUCAUUGUGGAAAAGCCACAAAUGUCCCUAGUACAGUAAUAAGGAAAAAAAGGCUGAGCGUGGUGGCUCACACCUGUAGUCCCAGGACUUUCGGAAGGAUUGCUUGAGCCCAGGAGUUGCAGAUCGGCCAGGACAAUGUAAGAAAACCCCAUGUAUUAGAAAAAAAGAAUUAGCCAGGCGUGAUGGUGUGGGUCUAUAGUCUCAGCUUGGGAGGCUGAGGUGGCAGGAUCGCAUAUAGCCCAGGAGUUCGAGGCUGCAGUGAGCCAUGAUCGCAUCACUGCACCCUAGUCUGGGCAACAGAGUCUCUAAAAAGGAAAAAAAAAAAAAAAGUUAAAUCGCUGUUUAAUUAUGUGCCAAUUUAUUUUGGUAUUUUGAGAAUCUGGUAAAUUAGGAAUUCAAAAAUAGUUUUAACACUUUUUACUUCAAAGAAAAUCACAGUGCAAGCAAUCUGAGUGGAUUCAUCAAAAGUUAUACAUGAAUAUUCUGCAGAGUCUGGUGUUGCUGAAAGUUUUGAUUUGUGUUCUGCUGAGACACAACCAUGAAAAUAUGCACUUGCUUGUAUUCCGAAGAGGAUAGUUCCAGUGAGACUUGGACAAUGAGCAGAAAAAAUUUUUUUUUGAGACGAGGUGUCGCUGUGUCGCCCAGGCUGGAGUGCAGCGGCGCGAUAUCUGCUCACUGCAACCUCUGCCUCCUGGGUUCAAGCGAUUCUCAUGCCUCAGCCUCCCAAGUAGCUGGGACUACAGGUGCCCGCCACCACACCCGGCUAAUUUUUUGUAUUUUUUUUUUUUUAGUAGAGACGGGGUUUCGCAGUGUUAGCCAGGAUGGUCUCGAUCUCCUGACCUCGUGAUCCACCCGCCUCGGCCUUCCAAAGUGCUGGGAUUACAGGUGUGAGCCAUUGUGCCCAGCUCAGAAAAUUUAAUAGUACUAGAUCUCGUGUGUGUGUGUGUGUGUGUGUGCGCGCGCUUAGGUUGAAGGUGGAAUUUAACAUUGAUUUAAAAAAAAUAAUAGUAGGAAAAAAUAAAUGCGGUUUGAGUCCAAAGCAGCAUUUUUCACUAAUUUUAUGAAGGAAGUCCUUUUGAGUAAUGUCUUAAAUUAGGAAAAUGGCGUACUUUUACAUGUUAGACAUUAAACUCUAGGGCAGAUAACCAUGCCCUGUGUGUUGUGUAUCAAGCUUAGCAUAUACAUAGGAAAAGAUGUAUUGUGAGAGUGUCUUACAUUUCGUUGGUUUGGUCAUAAAGUUUAUAGAAAAUGCUUGUUUUAUAGUUGGUUGUUAUUGAGAUGAGAGUCCCUCAAGGAACUCCCUAUGCUUUAGGGAGCUUUUUGUUUUAAACCUACUGGUUAGACUUGUGGGUUUUAAUGUUUUCAGCUGUGGUUGUAAGAAACACAUUUUAAAUUGCACCUAGUAUAGACAUACAUGUAAAACAAACAAAAUUUUUACGAAGUAGUACUUGUAUUAAGAGUGAUGUACUCUGCUAUCUUCUAUUUCAUUUUUUUAAAGUUGAUAUUGCUGCCUUAAAUUGAUUUUUUCAACCACUAAUGAGUCAGGACCCACUAUUUAAAAAAUACUGGUGUGUUCUCUUGCUGUUACGAAUUAACCCAAAACUUAGUGGUUUAAAGCAAUAAACUUGUGUUUAUCUCAUGUAGGUUCUGUGGGUCAGGAAUCUGGGAGUAGCUUACUUAGGUGGUUCUGGGUCAGGGUUUUUCAUGAGGUUCCAAGGUGGCUCUCAUUUGGCAAGUCAGCUAUGGCUGAUGGUGGAAGUUCUUCAUUGGACUGCUUGAGUGUCCUCAAGCAGUGGCGAAGGCUAGCUACCCGCAGAGUAGGUGAUUCAAGCAAGAGCAGAGAGGAGGCCACACACCAUCACUUCUGCCAUAUUCUAUUAAAAAGAAGUCACUUAAGUCCAGCCCAAACUCAGGGGAUGAGUAUCAAAGAAUUAUGGACAUAGUUUAAUAGCUGCCACAUUUAUAUGUUUUUCCACUUUAUAUUUUAUUUAUUUAUUUAUUUAGAGAUGGAGUCUUGCUCUGUCGCCCAGGCUGGAGUGCAGUGGCGUCAUCUCAGCUCACUGCAGCCUCUGCCUCCCGGGUUCAAGUGAUUGUCCUGCCUCAGCCUCCCUAGUAGCUGGAAUUAUAGGUGCCCCCUACCACGUCCGGCUAAUUUUGUAUUUUUAGUAGAGAUGGGGUUUCACUAUAUUGGCCAGGCUGGUCUCGAACUCUUGAACUCAGGUGAUCCACCUGCCUCAGCCUCCCAAAGUGCUGGGAUUUCAGGCAUGAGCCACCACCCUGGCCUGUUUUUCCAUUUUAAAGAUGAGUUAGGAUUGCACCAAAAGCCAUGCUGAAAUCAACCUAUAAGUAAUUAUCUUAGUUAAUUAAGUCAGUUUUUUUCUCUGAGGGCAUCUAGUCACACUUCCUUCUCAGUCUUCAAUUUGAAAAAGCAGGCUCAAAGAAUUUAAGUAAUUAAGCAGCCCAAGGUCAUUCAGUCUAGGAAAACCUCACAAAUUUUCUCUGACCUUUGUCAUGAAUAACAUGUGAGCUGAUAAAGAUGAGAAAAUUAAGAAGUUACACUGUAGAACUGUUCGCCAGUCUUCUAGUUUGCAGACCUCCAUAUUAUAAUACACUUUAAAAUUCAGAUAAUGCUUGGUGUCUAGAUUCCUCAUACUAGCACCCCUCCUGUUCAUUUUUAGAGGAAACAGGAAAUGUACUUAUUAAAUGAAUUCAAACUACUUUGAAUAGACCAUUCCAGAUGCUGCCUGUAUACUCACUAUGAGAUGUACUGUGCAAACUAAUUCCAAUUAGCACAUUUUGAGAACCCAAAAGGAUGUUGUGACUUAAAGAUGAUGAGAAUUUAAGUGUAAAGAAGACUACACUUCUUUAUGCUGUGAAAUUUUCAUAGAAAUUUUGGAUCUGGAAGGAUUUUGUUCUAAGACUAGUUUUAGCUUAGUGAUAAAAGGAAUAGGAUGACAUUGGUAGUGAGCGAAGGCAGGAUAAAUUUCUAAAGACUUCCUUAAAAAUUUUUUUAAUCCAUUAGGCUUUUCUAAAUUAUAGGUUGGGAUACAAUAAGUUAUCUUACACCUUUGCUUCACGGAAUGGGCUAAUGGCUACUUUUUUUUUUUUUUUUUUUUUUUUUUUUGAGAUGGAGUCUUACUCCCAUCUCACAGGCUGGAGUGUAGUGGCACAAUCUUGGCUUACUGCAACCUCCACCUCCCGGGUUCAAGUGAUUCUCCUUCCUCAGCCUCCUGAGUAGCUGGGAUUAUAGGCGUGCACCACCACACCCGGCUAAUUUUUGUAUUUUUAGUAGAGAUGGGGUUUCACCAUGUUGGCCAGGCUGGUCUCGAACUCCUGACCUCAGGUGUGCCACCUGCCUUGGCCUCCCAAAGUGCUAGGAUUACAGGCAUGAGCCACUGCGCCUGGCCGGAUAAUGGCUACUUAAAUCAUUUUUCAGUUUUCCCUUACCACUAUGAUUCCUGACUGUUUCUAUUCUGACCUAAAGUACUGUUUGUACACAAUUAAUUUUGAUUACCCUUUUUGCUUGUUACUUGUCUCCCUAUAUCUUGUAUCUCUCACUCUCACUGUAAGCUCCCUGAGGGCAGGUACUUCUUUUUAUGUACACUCCUGGUACUCAAUUGCUUGCAGAAUUGAGUUGAAUUUGUAGUUAAAGGAUCUAAGAUGAUCAUUUUCCCACUCGAACUGAGUGAAAAAGGUGUUUAUUGUUGCAGAAAACAUCUGCGUAUAGGUAUUGGAUGCUAGUGGUGCAUAUAUGAAUACCUAUCUCUGCUCUUCAGGUGGUCACAGUCCACUGGGGGAGAAAAACACAGAUACUUAGUACAAUUUAUUCUAUACUGCAGAUGUGCAGAGUGCUGUGGGUAUGUAGAUAACUUUAAGCUGAAUCUUGGUCGGUGAGCAGGUGUUCAGAAGAUAGACUUAGUGGCCAAGUGCGGUGGCUCACGCCUGUAACCCCAGCACUUUGGGAGGCCGAGGCGGGUGGAUCACUUGAGGUAAGGAGAUCGAGACCAUCCUGGCCAACAUGGUGAAACCCCGUCUCUACUAAAAAUACAAAAAUUAGCUGGGCGUGGUGGUGCAUGCCUGUAAUCCCAGCUACUCGGGAGGCUGAGGCAGGAGAAGCGUUUGAACCAGGGAGUUGGAGGGUUGCAGUGAGCCGAGAUGUUGCCACUGCACUCUAGCCUGGUGACAGAGCGAGGCUCUGUAUCAAAAAAAAAAAAAAAAAAAAAGAUAGACUUAGUUUUGUGAUGUGCUUUGGGGGUGGUGCAUUUCUUAGCUUCAUUCCUUUACUAUACAUCUCCCUUGAAUUAUUUUCCUUUUAUCGUUGGUGAGUUACCAUCAUAAUUUAAUAAAUUGUUUCCUUCUGUGACAUGUACAUUCUUGUCACAUCAUUUCUCUAGAACUGUGCUGUCCAGUUCAACUCAGUGUCACACUAGCCAUGUGUGCUGAGUAGCCACCUGUGGCUAGAGGCUACCAUAUUUGGGCAGCACAGAUAAUAUAAAACAUUUCUAUUAUUGGAGAAAGUUCAGUUGGACAUCACUGCUCUAGAAUCAUGUUUUGCUUCUCCCUAUUUUCACGUUAUCAAUAGUGUAUUGAGUUCAGAAUAGAAUUAGGAAACAAUAGCCUCCUGAUAUUGUCAUUGGGAGGGAUAGAGUGGUUGAUAUUUAUGAACAGAGGGGGGAGAGUGUAGUGUUUGGUAGUGGUUGAGAAUAUAGCCUUUGGAAUCAGAUCUGGGUUGGAAUUAUGGUCCGUCCCUUACACACUGUAUGGCUUCGGGCAUGUUACUGAACCUCUGAGCCUCAAGUUUUCCUUCUCAAAUAGGGUUAAUAGUAAUUAUCUCAUAACAUUGGGUGAACAUAAAAACAGGAGGGGGGCCGUAGCACAGUACCUCAGUAAAUGAUAAAAUCGGUAUAUUUUUGAAAUCAUCACUGAUUUAAAAAAAAACCUUAGAAUUAUGUAGUAAAAGUGACUUUUUUUUUUCAGUAUACCGUUCUGUGAUUUUUAACAUAGUAUUUAUUUGUUGUAAUCACCAACACGAGAAUAUAGGCCAGGUCUAUCACUUUAUUUUGCUGUCUUUAUAGACCUGUGCUGUUUCCACCCCUAACCCCUGGCUGUCACCGAUCUGUUGUCCAUCACUAUAGUUUUACCUUUUCUAGGAUGUUACAUAAAUGGAAUUACACAGUAUGUCGCCUUUGCACACUGGCUUCCUUUACCCAGCCAGAUUGGGUUGAGAGCGAUUUGUCCAAGUUGUUACAUCUAUCAGUCGUUGAAAACUGAUCUUUAAAGACAUUUUAAUUUUGAAUCAUUAUUUCCUAAACGUGAAUCUGAAUUCCUUAACAGUUCUUCAAGUAGUGUUUGGCUCAGGAUUUUUGUGUUUAAAAGUAAAAUAAAUGGUAAAAUAUAUAGGGAAAAAUUACUGCUUCCACCUGAUUGGUAAAAACCAUGUGUGACAUUAACAUGCUUUUCUUUAGGGAAGGUUCUUGUUUUUAGUAGUUGAUCCAUAUUAAAGCUCUGUAGAGUUGCCACAAAGUCCAGAGUUGAAAAAGGUGGCUGUUAAAAUAUCAGUUUCUAAAAUGUGGCCGAAGAUAGCGUGACCAGUCCUGGUUUGCCCAGGACUUUGCCAGUAUUAGCAGUGAAAGUCUGGCCGCUCUCAGGAAACCCCUUGGUCCCAGUCAAACCCAGAAUGGGACCAAGCGCCGUGGCUCAUUCCUGUAAUCCCAGCACUUUGGAAGGCUGAAGUGGGCAGAUCACGAGGUCAGGAGUUUGAGAACAGCCUGGCCAAAAUGGUGAAACCCCGUCUCUAAUAAUAGCCUGACAUGGUGAUGCACGCCUGUAAUCCCAGCUGCUUGGGAGGCUGAGGCAGGAGAAUCGCUUGAACCCAGGAGGUAGAGCUUGCAGUGAGCCAAGAUUGUGCCAAUGCACUGCAGCCUGGGUGACAGACUGAGACUGUGUCUGAAAAACAAACAAACAAACAAAACCCCAGAAUGGUUGGUCACCCUAUCUGAAAAGAGACACACAAAAUCAGAGGAUUCCAGUUCAUCAGGUUUCAGUAGUGAACCAUCGGCCAAGUAUUUCAUCUAAUCUUAAUUGCCUUUGGGUGCUUAGAGUCAAAUCUCUAAGGUAACCAGAACCCAAACCACAUGAGGUUUUUUAGAUUAAGAUCAGCACCUUGAAUUUAAGGUUUUGUGGCUAGAGGUUUAGAUUUGAUUGGAAUUACAUCGUUAAUUUUUGUUAAAUUGUUGAAUAAGCAACUUCCCAAGCCUUGUGUGUAGAAGCUAGAUUAAAAGUCAAGUUUCUACUUAACCAGAAUCUCUGUUUUGAGUUUUUAAAUUCAACUGGUGAUGUCUAAAUCUUAAGGAUAUUGUAAGUUCCUUAACUAGUCUGUUCCAUUUUCCUGAGUUUUCACAUCACCUCUCUACCUCUUGUGUAGAUUUUAUUUUUUAUUUUGAAACGGAUUUUCGCUCUUGUUGCCCAGGCUGGAGUGCAGUGGCACCAUCUCGGCUCCGCAACCUCUGCCUCCUGGGUUCAAGCGAUUCUCCUCCCUCAGCCUCCUGAGUAGCUGGGUUUACAGGCACAUGCCAGCGCACCUGGCUAAUUUAGUAUUUUUAGUAGAGACGGGGUUUCUCCAUGUUGGUCAGGCUGGUCUCAAUUUCCGGACCUCAGGUGAUUUACCCGCCUCUGCCUCCCAAAGUGCUGGAAUUACAGGCAUAAGCCACCACGCCCAGCCCUAGAUUUCUUUAUAGAGCAUCUGUCUAUAAGCAGAUUACUUAGUUUUCCUGAUGUCUUCGUUGGAAUGUAAGCUUUGUGAAAGCCAGGGGCCCUAUGUGUCAUCUUUACCACUAUGUCUUAGAUCUUAGAGCAGCCCAUCAUAAGUUCUAAUAAGUAAUUGUGGAAUUGGAUGAGAAAAUGAAUAUGAGUCAGUUUUACAAUGCUGCAUGCUUCCCAGAUUAUUUUAACAGUCUAGGGGAUGUGGAAAGAUUUUGUUUUAAAAACGUUUAAAAGUCCACGUUUUGUUUGAUAUUGUUCAGAGGAAGUGAAAAUGUGGUCUUUAAAAAAUUUUGUUGCCCGGGUGUGGUGACUCACGCCUGUAAUCCCAGCACUUUGGGAGGCUGAGGCGGGAGAAUCGCUUGAACCCGGGAGGCGGAGGUUGCAGUGAGCGGAGAUCGCGCCAUUGCACUCCAGCCUGGGCCACAGAGCAAAACUCUGUCUUAAAAAAAAAAAAAAAAGGCUGGGCGCGGUGGCUCACGCCUGUAAUCCUAGCACUUUGGGAGGCCGAGGUGGGCAGAUCACGAGGUCAGGAGAUCGAGACCAUCCUGGCUAACACGGUGAAACCCCGUCUCUACUAAAAAUACAAAAAAUUAGCUGGGUGUGGUGGCAGGCACCUGUAAUCCCAGCUACUCGGGAGGCUGAGGCAGGAGAAUGGCGUGAACCUGGGAGGCAGGCGGAGCUUGCAGUGAGCCGAGAUCGUGCCACUGCACUCCAGCCUGGGUGAAAGUGUGAGACUCUCAAAAAAAAAAAUUGUUUCAUUAACCCUCUAUGAGGGAAGGGAAUUUAGAAUGGUGACAUUAAACCUUCCUUUAAAAUGGCAAUUCAGAACCAGUGGAGAGAGCUGAAAGUGAGAGUAGAUUUGGAUUUGGAAAAAUUCCCUCUACUUCUCAUACACAUCACCUUCUCCCAACACAGGCACUUUGUAAAGGCAUAGAGCAGGGUCUGAGGAGAUUGGGUUGGUGAAAGAGAGAACUGAGUCACUUGAGAUUAGUACUUGGUAAGCAAGAGAGUGCUAAUGAAUUAUUUAAAAUCUGUGUAACCUGAGUGUAAACCAAUACAUAGACUAAGUUAGUGCUUCUCAGAGCUUAGGGAGCAUAGGAGUCUCCUGGAGAAUUAGAAGAAACAGAUUUUCCUAGCUCCGGCCCCAGACGUUCUGAUUUAGUGUGGUGUAGAACUCAGGAGUUAGUAAUAUUAAUGGACAGUCUUGAGUAUUUGCUGAUGCAACUGGUCUGAGGACCAUACUUUGGAAGACCUGCUUUAGAUAGUAGACAGGACAGUAAUUUAAAAUAGGCAAAUAUGGUUUAUUUUUAAAAUGGUAAAACUAGAAAGAUACUGAUUUUAUGUGUUUAAAAAAAAAAGUCUGCAUCUGACUGCUAUGGUUAUCCAAGAAGGCACCCCAGAAUACCUGUUGGCCACCGCUGUUUGGUAUAUGCAAAAAUGUGUAGUUUUUAAAAGAGUCUUUUUGGGCUUGCACUGAGGAGCCACCCUAUUUUAUACAGUCAAAAUAUUGCUAUAUUUAAGUUAACCAUUCUGUUCCAGUGCAGGAUUCAGUAACAUCUAUUCUGUAAGUUUCAGUUGUGAUAUUUCUUAAAGAUUCAAAGAUGGAUCCUGGGAAUUUGAUUUAGCCUCCAUUUCAUCUGGGAGUUAAUCCUCACAGCAACCCUGUGAGAUAGGUUAAUAAUUAAACCCUCCUAUUCACACAUAUUUCAUUAAUCCUUACAGCAACCUGAGAGAUAGUUUAAUAAUUAAACCUACUCCACAGAUGAGGAAACUGAGGCCCAAGAGGUUCAGUGAUUCGCCCAAGGUUAUAACAGCAAGAAUUGGUGGUGAAACAAGAAUUCAAAUCCAGAUUGGUCUUAAUAGUGAGCUCUCAUGUGUGAUAGAAAUUAGAUACCACUUUGAGGACUUUGGGAGCCAGUGGUGAAUGUACUUACUUUAGGCUCUAAAUACUCUGUGUAAUUUCUUGGUCAUUUUGUUCUUAGAGAGGUGGUGAUCUUAAUAAAGUUUUGACUUUAUUAAGUAAUUAAAAGUUUUUACUUAUGUUACAACUAAAACAAUUCUUUAAAACUUUCAUAACUUGAAGUUUUAAAUCCUAAAAUUAGUUGAAAAAGAUGUAAUUGCCAGUGUAUCGUAAAUACUGGUAUUUUAAAAUAAAGCUGCUUUAUCACUUUUAAGGAAAGCCCUUGUAAUUUAGUGCAUUGUAAUAGUGUAUUGAGCUGAUGUCCACCAUGAUCCAUGUAAACAUAGGUGAACUAUGCAAAUACAAGUUUUUCUUCUUGAAAAUGUUACAUUUCCUCUACAACACUUUAUGCUAAUAAAUGUUUAUGAACCUCUUUUGAUGAUCCUUUCAUUUCUUGUAAAUUUUUGUAUAUAACUUGAAAUGUUUAAUUUGCUGUAAUCAUAAGGCAUCAAAUGUUCAUGGUUUUUUUCUGGACUAUUUUCACAUUGUUAGUACUGAUUAGUUGACCAAAACAGCAAAUUGCAUACAUUGAUACUUGCAGUAAAAUUUCACUGGAAUUGUACCUCCUAAAAAAAAUGGGAGAAAACAUAAUGGCUUCAAUUAAAGGAGGCUGCAUUUACCAAUCUUCCAAAUUGUCCUUUUUUGUUUUUGUGGCUUCCCAAAAGUGUUGACAAAUAGGUUUAAUGUAUUUAAAGGUUAUUGAAUGUAGUGGACCAAACUAUUGAGGAUAGGUGAGAGACGCCGCUUCUGUAAGUGUGAUAAGGGAAGAUGGGAAGAGCAGGAUACACUGCAGG
rnacentral:lncRNA from 1 species